GACGUAGGGGGCCAGCGUUGCUCGGAAUUACUGGGCGUAAAGGGUUCGUAGGCGGUGCGGCAAGUCGGGAGUGAAAUCUCUGGGCUUAACUCAGGGGCUGCUUCCGAAACUGCCGUGCUUGAGUGCGGGAGAGGCGAGUGGAAUUGCAGGUGUAGCGGUGAAAUGCGUAGAUAUCUGCAGGAACACCCGUGGCGAAGGCGGCUCGCUGGACCGCAACUGACGCUGAUGCACGAAAGCUAGGGGAGCAAACAGG
rnacentral:rRNA from 1 species